rnacentral:misc_RNA from 1 species
GAUGAAGAACGUAGCGAAAUGCGAUACUUGGUGUGAAUUGCAGAAUCCCGUGAACCAUCGAGUCUUUGAACGCAAGUUGCGCCCGAAGCCUCGGCUAAGGGCACGUCUGCCUGGGCGUCACGCAUCGCGUCUCCCCCAAACCGCCAAGGCGGAGGGGAAGGAAGAUGGCUUCUCGUGCCUCACCCGGGCGCGGUUGGCCUAAAUUUGGAGCCCGCGGCACUUAGCUCUCGCGGCGAUAGGUGGUGAACAAGGCCUUGGCCGUGCAAACAACCCGCUGCGAAGCUCUAUGUCACGUGCGCUCGUCGGACCCUUUGAAGUUGCCUUUGGUGACUUAAAACCUUUGCGACCCCAGGUCAGGCGGGGCUACCCGCUGAAUUUAAGCAUAUCAAUAAGCGGAGGA